CUACUGAAAGGAAUUCGAUCGUAUCGUUGCCCUUUUCCGCCCGAUGCCCUUUGUGGGUGUGGGGCGGACGCUAGGUGCACUACGUGAUCCUCGCAUGCCCUGCCUUGUAGCUUGGCUGUUGAGGCCCACGGAGUUGUUGCCCGUUCUCUCGGAUACGGAAUGCCACGCAUGGGUGUUGGGUCUCGGCUCUUAACUGCCCAAGCUAAGCAUUUGUCCCUUGACACGAACGACCGCUGUGGCCGUGUUGACCUCGUCGUGGCCUAUGUGCUGCACGGGGCUCAUGCGAUCGUCAGCGUCGUCGAG
rnacentral:misc_RNA from 1 species